GAUGAACGCUGGCGGCGUGCCUAAUACAUGCAAGUCGAGCGAACGGACGAGAAGCUUGCUUCUCUGAUGUUAGCGGCGGACGGGUGAGUAACACGUGGAUAACCUACCUAUAAGACUGGGAUAACUUCGGGAAACCGGAGCUAAUACCGGAUGAUAUUUUGAACCGCAUGGUUCAAAAGUGAAAGACGGUCUUGCUGUCACUUAUAGAUGGAUCCGCGCUGCAUUAGCUAGUUGGUAAGGUAAUGGCUUACCAAGGCAACGAUGCAUAGCCGACCUGAGAGGGUGAUCGGCCACACUGGAACUGAGACACGGUCCAGACUCCUACGGGAGGCAGCAGUAGGGAAUCUUCCGCCAUGGGCGAAAGCCUGACGGAGCAACGCCGCGUGAGUGAUGAAGGUCUUCGGAUCGUAAAACUCUGUUAUUAGGGAAGAACAUAUGUGUAAGUGACUGUGCACAUCUUGACGGUACCUAAUCAGAAAGCCACGGCUAACUACGUG
rnacentral:rRNA from 1 species